UACGUAGGUGACAAGCGUUGUCCGGAUUUACUGGGCGUAAAGAGCGCGCAGGCGGUCGUUCAAGUCGAGUGUGAAAGCCCCCGGCUCAACUGGGGAGGGUCACUCGAUACUGAUCGACUCGAAGGCAGGAGAGGGUAGUGGAAUUCCCGGUGUAGUGGUGAAAUGCGUAGAUAUCGGGAGGAACACCAGUGGCGAAGGCGACUUCCUGGCCUGUUCUUGACGCUGAGGCGCGAAAGCGUGGGGAGCGAACAGG
rnacentral:rRNA from 1 species